UACGAAGGUGGCAAGCGUUGUUCGGAUUUACUGGGCGUACAGGGAGCGUAGGCGGUUGGAUAAGCCCUCCGUGAAAUCUCCAGGCUUAACCUGGAAAGUGCAGAGGGGACUGUUCAGCUAGAGGAUGGGAGAGGAGCGCGGAAUUCCCGGUGUAGCGGUGAAAUGCGUAGAGAUCGGGAGGAAGGCCGGUGGCGAAGGCGGCGCUCUGGAACAUUUCUGACGCUGAGGCUCGAAAGGCGUGGGGAGCAACAGGG
rnacentral:rRNA from 1 species